AUGCUCCUCCCUACUCACAUGGAGUAGGUGAGAAAAGGUUGGGUUGGCUAAUAAGUUAGAAUAGAUACUUUUGUAUAAGUGUCGGCUACCGGCUGUGUGCUGUUUGUAAACGUCUAUUUGUAAUGUUGUAUAUUGUAAUAAUACUCAUCUUUUUAAUAGUUCGUUCAGUUGUGCCAGUCUACUAAAAGAAUGAAAGUGUCCCAAAAUUGGAGCCAGAAUUUGAUGUGCCAAUCCUUUUAAUAUGUAUUUAUCAGACCUUAUGAUACUGUUGUGUUUUUGUUGUUUCAGAUAAAGCUAACUGCAAAGAGGAGGUAGCACUUGAGCUUCGUGCAAGUCAGUUCAAACAAAUUUUAUUCUGGUGGUGGAGGCGGCGCAAUAAUGACGGCAGUGGUGCUGAUCGUGGUAGUGGUUGGGACGUGGAGGUGGUGGCAAUAUAAUGGCCAUGGGUGAUGUUGGCCUUUUUUGGUGCUGCUGCUGGAGAAGGGCAAUUUGCAGCUACACUUAUCCAGGU
rnacentral:lncRNA from 1 species